CGAGAAGUGAGCGUGAGUGUGAAGCGAGAUACGCCGUUACGCGAGGGACAUCAAAAAGGGGGAAACUGGCGGAAUCGGCGCACUCAACGCGCGGAGGUGUGUCGUUCCGAGCUCCGGCCGCACGUGACGCGGACCGUGUCUCUGGUGUCGCUUCUCUCUCUUUUAGGCCCGCUCAUGGUCAAUAAUAUUGCACAGUAAUAUUGCACAAUAAGUUUGUGCCAUGGAGCGAUAAUUGAAAGAAGAGGAAAAGGUUUUGGAAAAUGUACAACUGAAAACAAAGGGUAACCAAGGUCCAAUUAAAACAUGUUGGAAAAGACCAAUUUGCUCCGGGCGAGGCACAGAAAAGUGAAGACGACAGCUCCGAAUUUCAGUUGAGGGCGAUGAAGUUCUAUUACCUUUAAAACAUUUUAAGGAAGUGGAACAGAAAGGAAUCAUCAAGCCUAAGCUUAUUCGGGUCCCAGCAAUGCUCAGGGUUGUGAGAAAAAGUAUGCGAACAUGGAAUAUGAAUGUGAAUUGGCCAAACAGAAAUACGACAGGAGGAGCUCCAACUGCCCGGAAAUUCGAAGCUGUUUUGCAAUCGUGCCAGUUUCCGAGUCGUUGAAAAUGUUUUCCCGAAAAAAUAUCCCAAUUGCAAAUAUCUAAACUUAAAAUAUCUGAAUGGGAAUAUUUCUCCAUUGGAAUUAUCCCAAUUGAAAAUACCUCAAUUAGAAAUGGAUAAACUUUCGAACAGCCCAUACCUCUGAUUGAUCUGAAAUUAUUUUAAAAAUAUAUUUUUAAAUCACAUAUUUUUAAAAUCCUUUGGGCUUUUCGUCCUGAGAUGUUCCAUUUUUUGAGAUUUGCUGUCAACGCCGAUUCAAAGGGUGCCAUUUUCAAUACACAAUUGUACAAAAAAAUACCAUGAAAAAAAUUAAAAGAAAAAAAUUUUCCAGCACUUCUGAGUAUGUAAAAGAUGUGUGCAAGGUUUUAUUUAAAUCCAUCCAGCCAAUUUUUAUGUAUUUGCAUUACGAGUUUUCGAAAAAACGCUAUUUUUUUCGGUUUUUCUUCAGAUUUAUCCCUUAAUAAUUGAUCGAUCGGGUUUUUUCAGGACUCAUUCCCUUUGUAUUUUAUAUCUCUACAUUUCGUCCGUUGGGACCAUUUACAUCGCUCCAUCGGUUUUCCUUUUAUAACCAAAAAACCAAAAAAAUGCAAUUUUUUGCACUAAAUUGAUAAUAAAAAAAAAGAAAAUGGGAAUCUCGAGUACGUUUUUGUGUAGCUAGGUCCUCGGGGCUAUUCCGCGUGUGAAGGCACCGGUCGUUAUCCGUUACCAUUUUUGACAAAAUCUGCUGAUUUUAGAACAUUCACGCUUGGCCUAAACAGCGUCUCACCGACGACUGCAACGACUUAACAUUUGUUGUUUACGCUUACAUACGUUAAACUACGAAGCAAGCAGGAACGUGCGUGGAUUGGAGUGAUAAGAGCUGUCCGCAUUAAUUGUCAGCUGAAUGAGGUAGUAGAUUUAUGUUUCUCGCUCUCAGAAAUCAUUUUGUUGUGAAUGACUUUUCCAGAAAAUCAACUCACGAGUUAACUUCAUAUUUAACUUUUAUUUGAAUGAGCAAUUUGAAUAAAAAGUUAUGGGCCGGGCCAGACGAGUACUUUUAACAUACCAAUCCAUUCGACGUCGAAUUUGCGAAUGAUACUUCCCAGGGAAUUCUGAAAGUCAGAGAAGAAUCGAUUUUCUUAUAAUUCCUUAAUUUCGUAAGCAAGUUGUUUUUCACAAAAAAAAUUCUAACUGCUCGUUUUGUGUUGGCUCAGGAAAACCUAUAAAGAUAACUUUAGAAUGUUUUGUAUAACAAUAUUUCAUUUUCAUAUCGUAGAUCGUUCGUUAUCAUUCAAGCGGCAUUUCACAUUUUAAUAUUCGAAAAUAGAAUAAAGAAAAAGUAUUCCGAAAAGAUAAAAAAAAAACGCCAUGUUCAUGCAAAAUAGCAUUCAAUUGAGGCAACAGAAAUACUUUAAAAGGAAUAAAUUGCAUUCAAAUAAUAUACUUAUGAUACAUGUCUAGUCCUUAAAAUGGUUCAAUGUAUUGGGCUAACAAAUAAAGAGGCUUAAAAUCACA